UACGGAGGGUGCAAGCGUUAUCCGGAUUCACUGGGUUUAAAGGGUGCGUAGGUGGGCCCCGUAAGUCAGUGGUGAAAUCUCCGAGCUUAACUCGGAAACUGCCAUUGAUACUGCCCUGCUAGAGUACUGGAGAGGAGAUUGGAAUUUACGGUGUAGCAGUGAAAUGCGUAGAUAUCGUAAGGAAGACCAGUGGCGAAGGCGGAUCUCUGGGCAACUACUGACGCUGAGGAGCGAAAGCGUGGGGAGCGAACAGG
rnacentral:rRNA from 1 species